UACGUAGGGGGCAAGCGUUGUCCGGAUUUAUUGGGCGUAAAGAGCGUGUAGGCGGCUGGGUAGGUCCGUUGUGAAAACUCGAGGCUCAACCUCGAGACGCCGAUGGAAACCCCCCAGCUAGAGUCCGGAAGAGGAGAGUGGAAUUCCUGGUGUAGCGGUGAAAUGCGCAGAUAUCGAGAGGAACACCUGCGGCGAAGGCGGGUUGCUGGGCUGACACUGACGCUGAUGCGCGAAAGCCAGGGGAGCGAACGGG
rnacentral:rRNA from 1 species